rnacentral:rRNA from 1 species
GACGAACGCCGGCGGCGUGCUUAACACAUGCAAGUCGAACGGAAAGGCCCUGCUUUUGUGGGGUGCUCGAGUGGCGAACGGGUGAGUAACACGUGAGUAACCUGCCCUUGACUUUGGGAUAACUUCAGGAAACUGGGGCUAAUACCGGAUAGGAGCUCCUGCUGCAUGGUGGGGGUUGGAAAGUUUCGGCGGUUGGGGAUGGACUCGCGGCUUAUCAGCUUGUUGGUGGGGUAGUGGCUUACCAAGGCUUUGACGGGUAGCCGGCCUGAGAGGGUGACCGGCCACAUUGGGACUGAGAUACGGCCCAGACUCCUACGGGAGGCAGCAGUGGGGAAUAUUGCACAAUGGGCGGAAGCCUGAUGCAGCAACGCCGCGUGCGGGAUGACGGCCUUCGGGCUGUAAACCGCUUUCGCCUGUGACGAAGCGUGAGUGACGGUAAUGGGUAAAGAAGCACCGGCUAACUACGUG